AGGGUAGCAGAAUGAAGUUGCCGUAACUGUUGGAGAAAAUGCAACUCAAGCUGCUGAGAGCGCGCAUGGGAACACAAUUCUUCUGGAGCCUGAAGUACUGAUGCAUUAUAUGCCCAUACUCACCCUGUACUGUGGGAAGGCCAGGCUCUGACACAAGCUGCUAAAGGUCGGGGACUGCAAGCGAUGGAUGGACAACCACAAUGCAGGGAUUCUUUGCAUUCUGAAACAAAGGAAAAAAUGUGGAAUGACUGGGGUUUACCUCUUCAGGUAUCAGGCAACUUAUUCUUACCCUUCAACGGUCCUACGGUCCAGAGCAAGAAGCGAAACCGUUCCCAACUGUCGGGCCUCCUUGGAAAUGGAGUUCCUUUGACUGCUGGCUGCAGUGGUGACAACUUCAAACUGUGGCACCAGUUUGCCCUGGACAAAUCCCUGUAACUGAAACAAGACAGAGGCAUAGAAAUCCUCAAGAGAUGUGUCACAGAUGGAGAACAUCCACACCUCUGUGUGCAGACGAAUCAGCUCCAUCUUGGCCGUGGAGUUCCCCUUAAUCAGACCUCUGAUAUGUUCCUGUCUGAGAACCUGGAGAGACACAACAGCACAUGUUUAAUAAUAUAUAUGUUGGAGAAAAACUGACACCUGCGUUUUUAUUUCAUAAAAGGUUUGGCAAAUCAAAAUGUUUAUAUACACACACACACACUUACACACACACUUUCCUAAAUAAUUACUGAUAUAUUUUGAAACAUGUAGAAAAUGCUUGAAACAGGAGUAACACUGGCAAAGGUUAUGAGAGGUCUCAUAUUGUAAGUUAACUCUCACCACUAGUUGUCUGAAGUCAAGGAUGCUUUGCCACUGACUGUGGAGGUUCCUAAGCGCCUCCUGACGGCUUCUGGCAUGCUGGUCAAGUUGGAUACACCUGUCUCUGAUAUGAUCCCUGGUCGCCGCCUUCAUCACACACUGAAGUUCCACUUCUAAAGCUGACCUGACAGCAACAAAGAAAAA